UACAGAGGUCUCAAGCGUUGUUCGGAUUCAUUGGGCGUAAAGGGUGCGUAGGUGGCGCCGUAAGUCGGGUGUGAAAUUUCGGAGCUUAACUCCGAAACUGCAUUCGAUACUGCCGUGCUCGAGGACUGGAGAGGAGACUGGAAUUUACGGUGUAGCGGUGAAAUGCGUAGAUAUCGUAAGGAAGACCAGUGGCGAAGGCGGGUCUCUGGACAGUUCCUGACGCUGAGGCACGAAGGUCAGGGGAGCAAACGGG
rnacentral:rRNA from 1 species